rnacentral:rRNA from 1 species
AUUGAACGCUGGCGGCAUGCUUUACACAUGCAAGUCGAACGGUAACAGCACUUCGGUGGCUGACGAGUGGCGCACGGGUGAGUAAUACAUGGGAACGUGCCUAGCAGUGGGGGGUAACUACUCGGAAGAGUAGCUAAUACCGCAUGAGAUCUAAGGAUGAAAGCGGGGGGCCUUCGGGCCUUUCUCGACUAGAGCGGCUGAUGGCAGAUUAGGUAGUGGGGGGGAUUAAAGCUUACCAAGCCGACGAUUUGUAGCUGGACGGAGAGGACGGACAGCCACACUGGGGAUGAGACACGGCCCAGACUCCUACGAGAGGGAGCAGUGGGGAAUUUUGGGCAAUGGGCGGGAGACUUAUACAGCAAGGCCGCGGGCAGGAUGAAGGCCUUCGGGUUGUAAACUGCGUUUGUACGGAACGAAAAGCCCUCUUCUAAUACAGGAGGGUCAUGAAGGUAACCUAAGAAUAAGGACCCGCCAAACACGGGC